rnacentral:misc_RNA from 1 species
UUAAGUUCAGCGGGUAUCCCUACCUGAUUCGAGGUCAAACUGGGGGAGAUCUUGAUGGACGCCGGCUCGCCACGGCCUCGAGAAGCGCAAAGUGCUGCGCGAGAGACCGGCGGCCUGCUGCCAAUGCUAUUGGGGCGAGUCCGCGCAGAUGACACGGACAAACACCCAUCACCAAGCGGUGCUUGAAGGGAGAAAUGACG